rnacentral:rRNA from 1 species
UGCCAGCAGCCGCGGUAAUACGAAGGUCCCAAGCGUUGUUCGGAAUCACUGGGCGUAAAGGGUUCGCAGGCGGAAUUUUAAGUCAAAUGUGAAAGCCCGGGGCUCAACCUCGGAACUGCAUUCGAUACUCCCGUGCUAGAGUAAUGGAGAGGUAAGUGGAAUUCCUGGUGUAGCAGUGAAAUGCGUGGAUAUCAGGAGGAACAUCAAUGGCGAAGGCAACUUACUGGACAUUUACUGACGCUCAGACACGAAGGCUAGGGUAGCGAAAGGGAUUAGAUA